rnacentral:sRNA from 2 species
CCAUACUAGCAUUUUACACUUAGCAUCUAUUUAAGAGCUAACCAGAGUAACAACCUCGUCAACUAAAACAUCGACUGGUUAUUGACUAGCUGACCAGUUAACGAACUACAGCGUCGUAAACCGCUCUGUAAUUUGUGCCAAAGUGCAUCUCACUAAGCGUACCUCCCAUUAGUGAGUGCACCACACUACAACAGAAUUCACACUGUAAUAGAAUUCUACCAACUAUUCUUAUUCCUCAUCUGCUCAUUGAUCCUCAUCACCAUGUCUAAAUCAUGUGAUAAUGACAUCAACAUCCGGAAAAGAAUGGUCAAUAUGAGGAGCUCAGAGAAAAUAGCAGUAACAUUGGAUUUUACCAUAACUAGUAGGCCCUCAUGCUCUGCUUGGCGCCGGAAGCAUUGCUAAAUAUGUUUGUAGCUAUUGCUAAUUCGAAAUGUCCCGGUGGUAGUUACUGGUUAGCCUCCAUAUCUUAGUUGACUAUUGGGGCUGCAAGGUAGUGCUGGCAUAUAUAUAUGUAUAUAUGUAUAUAUAUUUUUGGUGAAAUGUUAUCAUAUGAAGAUUGAGUGAUGUUCGAGUCUCGUCUGGGA